rnacentral:SRP_RNA from 1 species
GCCAGGUGUGGUGGCACACACCUGUAAUCCUAGCUACUCAGGAGGCUGAGGCAGGAGAAUCGCUUGAACCUGGGAGGAGGCAGAGGUUGCAAUGAGCUGAGAUGGUGCCACUGUACUCCAUCCUGGGCGACAGAGUGAGACUCUGCCUCCAAAAAAAAAAAAAAAAAAGAAGCAGGAAUGGGGCACCGGCCCACAGGUGGCAGCACCAAGUAGUCUUGUUUAUAUUGCUUCUUUUUUUUUUUUUUUUUUUGAGAAGGAGUCUUGCUCUGCAAUGGCACAAUCUCGGCUCACGGCAACCUCUGCCUCCCAAGUUCCAGCGAUUCUCCUGCCUCA